GUGACUGUGGCUCAGUAGGAAGAGUAAUUGUCUUGCAAUCAGAAGGUUGUAGGUUCAAUUCCAGCUUCCCCCUGCCAUA